GCCAGCUUGGUGUAGCGCUUAGACCCUUAGACUAGGAAUCUGGAGACCAGGGUUCAAAUCCUGGCUCUGCCA